rnacentral:ncRNA from 2 species
GGCAACUAAAUCAGCAUUCCUUAUAUAUAUGUGGAAAGAUGGCCCACACGUUUCUACCCAGCUGCCGAGAAAGCUGGACUAUAAGGAGAGAAUCGCGCGGG